CCUACGGGUGGCUGCAGUAGGGAAUUUUGGUCAAUGGGGGCAACCCUGACCGAGCAAAGUCGCGUGAAGGAAGACGGUAUUCGUAAUGUUAAGUUCCUUUAACAGGGGAGAAAGAGACGUUUCACGGUACCUGACGAGUAAGCUCCGGCUAACACCGUGCCAGCAGCCGCGGUAAUACGUAGGGGGCGAGCGGUAGCCGGAAUGAUUGGGCGUAAAGGGUGCGUAGAUGGCAUAGUAAGUCUUUGGGAAAAAUGAUGGGCUCAAACCAGUAGGGCAAAAGAUACUGGAAUGCUAGAGUAUGACAGAGGCAAGUGGAACGAGAGGUGUAGCGGUGAAAUGCGUAGAUAGCUGGAAGAACACCAGUUGCGAAGGCAGCUUGCCGGGGCGAUACUGACACUGAGGCACGAAAGCGUGGGGAUCAAACAGGAUUAGAUACCCGGGUAGUC
rnacentral:rRNA from 1 species